GAUGAACGCUGGCGGCGUGCUUAACACAUGCAAGUCGAACGGAAAGGCCCAAGCUUGCUUGGGUACUCGAGUGGCGAACGGGUGAGUAACACGUGGGUGAUCUGCCCUGCACUUCGGGAUAAGCCUGGGAAACUGGGUCUAAUACCGGAUAGGACGAUGGUUUGGAUGCCAUUGUGGAAGGUUUUUUCGGUGUGGGAUGAGCUCGCGGCCUAUCAGCUUGUUGGUGGGGUAAUGGCCUACCAAGGCGUCGACGGGUAGCCGGCCUGAGAGGGUGUACGGCCACAUUGGGACUGAGAUACGGCCCAGACUCCUACGGGAGGCAGCAGUGGGGAAUAUUGCACAAUGGGCGCAAGCCUGAUGCAGCGACGCCGCGUGGGGGAUGACGGCCUUCGGGUUGUAAACUCCUUUCGCUAGGGACGAAGCGUUUUGUGACGGUACCUGGAGAAGAAGCACCGGCUAACUACGUG
rnacentral:rRNA from 1 species